GGGCGAUUAGCUCAGGGGAUAGAGCGCUGGUCUCCGGAACCAAAGGCCGUGGGUUCGAAUCCCACAUCGCCCGCCA
rnacentral:tRNA from 6 species